GCGAGUCAUUGUAGCAUACAAGGCGGACGGCUCAGUAACACGUAGUCAACCUAACUCGUGGACGUGGAUAACCUCGGGAAACUGAGAAUAAACCACGAUAGAUCAUAGUGCCUGGAAUGGCUUAUGGUCCAAACAGUUUACUGCCAUGGGAUGGGACUGCGGCCUAUCAGCUUGUUGGUGAGGUAAUGGCCCACCAAGGCGAUUACAGGUACGGGCUCUGAGAGGAGAAGCCCGGAGAUGGGUACUGAGACACGGACCCAGGCCCUAUGGGGCGCAGCAGGCGAGAAACCUUAGCAAUGUGCGAAAGCACGACUGGGUCAGUCCGAGUGAUUCCUGAUAAAGGAGUCUUUUGCUUGUCCUAAAAGCACAGGUGAAUAAGGGGUGGGCAAGUCUGGUGUCAGCCGCCGCGGUAAUACCAGCACCUCGAGUGGUCAGGACGUUUAUUGGGCCUAAAGCAUCCGUAGCCGGCUCUGCAAGUCUUCGGUUAAAUCCACCUGCUCAACAGAUGGGCUGCUGGAGAUACUACAGAGCUAGGGAGUGGGAGAGGCAGACGGUAUUCAGUGGGUAGGGGUAAAAUCCUCUGAUCCAUUGAGGACCACCAGUGGCGAAGGCGGUCUGCCAGAACACGUUCGACGGUGAGGGAUGAAAGCUGGGGGAGCAAACCGGAUUAGAUACCCGGGUAGUCCCAGCUGUAAACGAUGCAAACUCGGUGAUGCAUUGGCUUAUGGCCAAUGCAGUGCC
rnacentral:rRNA from 1 species